CUAAGAUUCUUUGACAUAAGUUGUUUCUCUGUAAGCAGUUCUGCCACUACGAACAAAACUAGUGGAUGUGAUGGAAUUCGGGUAGAGCUGUUUCAAAUCCUGAAAGAUGAUGCUGUGAAAGUGCUGCACUCAAUAUGCCAGCAAAUUUGGAAAACUCAGCAGUGGUCACAGGACUGGAAAAGGUCAGUUUUCAUUCCAAUCCCAAAGAAAGGCAAUGCCAAAGAAUGCUCAAACUACCGCACAAUUGCACUCAUCUUACAUGCUAGUAAAGUAAAGCUCAAAAUUCUUCAAGCCAGGCUUCAGCAAUAUGUGAACCAUGAACUUCUAGAUAUUCAAACUGGUUUUAGAAAAGGCAGAGGAACGAGAGAUCAAAUUACCAUCUGCGGAUCAUCGAAAAAAGCGUCUUCUGUCAUCCCCUUCUCCUCCUGCCCUAAAUCUACCCCAGCAUCAGAGUCUUUUCCAAUGAGUUGGUUUUUUUGCAUCAGGUGGCCAAAGUAUUGGAGUUUCAGCUUGAGCAUCAGCAUCAGUCUUUCCAAUGAACAUUCAGGACUAAUUUUCUUUCAGAUUGACGGGUUGGAUCUCCUUGCAGUCCAAAGGACUCUCAAGCCCACUGAUACUGAAGCUGAAAUAUUUAAUUUAUAUUCAGAGUACAUCAUGAGAAAAGCUGAGUUGGAUGAAGCCCAAGCUGAAAUCAAGAUUUCCAGGAGAAAUAUCUAUAAUCUCAGAUAUGCAGAUGACACCUCCCUUAUGGCAAGAGCCAUAAUGGCAAAGAGCCUCUUGAUGAAGGUAAAAGAGGAGAGUGAAAAACUGACUUAAAACUCAACAUUCAGAAAGCUAAGAUCAUGGCAUCUGGUCCCAUCANNNNNNNNNNNNNNNNNNNNNNNNNNNNNNNNNNNNNNNNNNNNNNNNNNNNNNNNNNNNNNNNNNNNNNNNNNNNNNNNNNNNNNNNNNNNNNNNNNNNCAGACUUUAUUUUUCUGGGCUCCAAAAUCACUGCAGAUGGUGAUUGCAGCCAUGAAAUUAAAAGAUGCUUACUCCUUGGAAGGAAAGUUAUAACAAACCUAGAAAGCAUAUUUAAAAGCAGAGAUAUUACUUUGUCAACAAAGGUCCAUUUAGUCAAGGCUAUGGUUUUUCCAGUGGUCAUGUAUAGAUAAGAGAGUUGGACUGUAAAGAAAGCUGAGCGCUGAAGAAUUGAUGCUUUUGAACUGUGGUGUUGGAAAAGACUUUUGAGAGUCCCUUGGAUUGCAAGGGGAUCCAACCAGUCCAUCCUAAAGGAGAUCAGUCCUGAGUGUUCAUUGGAAGGACUGAUGUUGAAACUGAAACUCCAAUACUUUGGCCACCUGAUGGGACGAGCUAACUCAUUUGAAAAGACUCUGAUGCUGGGAAAGAUUGAGGGCAGGAGGAGAAGGGGAUGACAGAGGACGAGAUGGUUGGAUGGCAUCACCGACUCAAUGGACAUGGGUUUGGGUAGACUCUGGCAGUUGGUGAAGGACAGGGAGGCCUGGUGUGCCUCCCUGUCCUUCAUGGGGUCUCAAAGAGUCGGACAUGACUGAGCAACUGAGCUGAACUGAACUGAACUGUUCUGUUAUGUCAUUAUGCUGUUGUUCAGUUGCCCUGUUGUGCUCAACUCUGUGACCCCAGGAACUGCAGCAUGUCAAAAUUAUAUGUCAUUACAGUUUUGUCUAAACCUAUAAAAUGUACAACAUUAUGAGUGGAAGCCCUAAGACAGCCUAUGGACUUUGGGUGAUUAUGAUGUGUAAAUUUAGGGUCAUGAUUGCUAAGAACAUACAAUCCUUGUGAGUGAUAUUCACAGUAAGGGAAGACAUGCACGUGUAGGAACAGGGGUGUAUAAGAGAAAUUCCUGAACCUUCCUGUAAAUAUUGUUGUUAAUGUAAAACUGCUCAUCCAAAAUAAAGUCUUAAUUCCUUUUACAUAAAAAGAACAACUGGUCAUUGCUAUGAUCCAGGGAUCACAGCCUCAGCUGUUGCAUGCUGCUGACGUAGAAACUGGCCACCAAAAUGCUGGCUUGCUUGCCAGAAGAAGCAAUCACCAUCCAUGAUGCUCUUAAAGAUUCUUCCUGGAUAUCCAAC
rnacentral:lncRNA from 1 species